rfam:Pseudoalteromonas luteoviolacea B = ATCC 29581, WGS project CAPN01000000 data, contig: 12
CGUUCCCUCGCUCGUAGGACAGUUGAUUAAGUCCCUGAGCCGAUACUUUUCUUUUAGGAAUGCAGUUUGCUUGCUAUUGAGCAGGCUCGGCAUGUACCGAGAAGCCUACGGUGGGCUGUUGCUUUCCGCCUUGAACCUUAGGGUUCAAGGGCUGACAUCAGCAUCCGCGACGCUUGGGAACAC